rnacentral:rRNA from 1 species
GAUGAACGCUGGCGGCGUGCCUAAUACAUGCAAGUCGAGCGAACAGAUGAGGAGCUUGCUCCUCUGACGUUAGCGGCGGACGGGUGAGUAACACGUGGAUAACCUACCUAUAAGACUGGGAUAACUUCGGGAAACCGGAGCUAAUACCGGAUAAUAUAUUGAACCGCAUGGUUCAAUAGUGAAAGACGGUUUUGCUGUCACUUAUAGAUGGAUCCGCGCCGCAUUAGCUAGUUGGUAAGGUAACGGCUUACCAAGGCAACGAUGCGUAGCCGACCUGAGAGGGGGAGCGGCCACAGGAGAACGAAAACCAGGCCGAACCACCGAGGGAGGGCAGAGGGGGGAAAUCUGCCACAAUGGGGGAAGCCCGGACGGACCAGGCCGGCGGGAGUGAUAAGGGUGUCGGUAUCGAAAAACUUUUUUAUGGGGAAAAAAAAAAUGUGAAAUUAACAAUGCCCGUUUUGACGGACCUUAAUCAAAAAGCCCCGGCAAAUCACGGG